rnacentral:rRNA from 1 species
UACGUAGGGGGCUAGCGUUGUCCGGAAUCAUUGGGCGUAAAGAGCGUGUAGGCGGUCCGGUAAGUCCGCUGUGAAAGUCGGGGGCUCAACCCUCGAAUGCCGGUGGAUACUGUCGGGCUAGAGUGCGGAAGAGGCGAGUGGAAUUCCUGGUGUAGUGGUGAAAUGCGUAGAGAUCCGGAGGAACACCAGUGGCGAAGGCGACACGCUGGGCCAUACCUGACGCUAAAGCGCGACAGCAUGGGGAGCAAACGGG